rnacentral:lncRNA from 1 species
CUAUUCCUAUGGCUGUACCCUGGACCUUAUCUUCAUACAGACUUGCUACAUACCUGAAAUCCUCAACUCUAACUGCACUGUGACCUUAGCCCCUAGCAUUCUAGUGCAGUUAAACACACUCGUUAUAUCUACCCUUCUCCUUUAUGGAGCCCACUAUUCCAGUGACCCCUAGUUUUCUUCUUUACCAAUUUAUCAGACACUUGCUAGCCUUACACUAUCCUACUGACCCUGAACUAAUCCUCAUGAUUAGUCAUGGCACAAAGAACUGAUCCAUGCUGUGGUUUAGACCAGGAUUUCUCAACAUCAGCACUAUGGAUAUUUUGAGUGAGAUAAUUAUUUUAAUUAUUUUCUUUGCUGUGUGUGUGUUAUGGAGGCAGGAUGUCCUGUACAUUCAAGGAUGCUUGACAGCAUUCCUGGACUCUCCCCACUAGAUACAUGUAGCAUUCCUCCACCAGUUGUGACAGCCCCAACUAUCUCCAGACACUGUCUCGGAAUACAAGAGCACCCCUGGUUGAGGAGCACACAUCUAGAUUCAAGGAAAGUGUCAUAUCCACAGAAGUGCCUUUACUAGCUUCACUAAGGUGCUGUCGGCAGUGCCUGGCACAGGUGUUCAAAAGUGUUCAGUAGGAGUUCCCAUCUGAUAAAUUUAAUGAUAGUGUUUGCCCACAAACCAGAGUCCUCAGAGGUAUAGUAAAAGAAUCCUAGGCUUGGGCAAAAACAGCUCAUCUCAUUCCCUCUACUGGCAAGUAUAGGAGGAAAUGCAAUAAGGCUUCUGUUACCAGGAGACCUGCUACUCUUCUCCUCACCAAAGAAGGGUGGAAAUGGAGACCUCAGGGAUUUGAAUUAACAACAGCCUUAAAGAAUAGGGAAGCUCAUUACUCCCUAUUUAUCUCACUUGCUGAGGUUCCCUCUUGGGUCUGCCUUGCCUUUUCCUCCAUCCUAAGGGAUUCAUAUCCAGUGUUGGUCAGAGCUUUUUGGUAGACAGUUCCACUUGGCAUCAAGCAAGACCCCACAAAGAUAAAGGGAGAUCCAGAGGGCCCACAAAAGGAUCUCUGGAGGUCAAUCCCCCCUUUUGUCUGCCAUUUUCUAAGCAUUUAAAAUCCCUUCUCUCCCCCUAUAGCAAAUGAAAAUUUUCAGCAGGUUCUGGCUAUUUAACACUUGGGUGUGAGCAGGGUUUACUCCUCCUCAGCCCUCCUACCUUGUGAGCUAGCUAGCCUCAACAUUCCAUUUCAGUAUGAUCUCCUGACCCUGUUCACAUUGAAUCUAACUGGCAAAAAGCUGAGAACUGGCACCUUGGGUCACCUUUUCUUUCUCCCUACCACCUAAUUCUUCUUUAAGUCCUUUAACAAGAGGCCAGAAGCUUACCUUCCACUGGCAUUUCUUAUAGUCCUGCUUGGAGUAUAGCCACCUGCCUGAAUCAUGCUCACCUUCUCAGCCUCUCACUCUGCACUUCUGCAAAAGCACCCAGACCCUGGGAAAUCCCACCGUCCAUCUCUUAGAGAAGACCCAAUAGAAUUCUUAGCAGCUUUCUGGGUUACUGUUAAACCUCAUAUUUCUGCCUAAGACAGACAAAUAAUCUUUUUCAAAUGACAUUAUGGCAUGUGAUUUCUUUCUAAGUUCUAUUCCCAGCAUUGAUUUAACACCACAUCUCCCCAUCUCCCUAGGAAUAACAGAAUAGAACCUAUAAUUGUAAUAGUCUCACAUUUCCUUGACUCCAGCCUUUCUGAACUUAAUUCUUUAGACCUCAAUCAUUAAUUAGCUUCUAUAUACAGCACCUAAUUCUAGACCCUGGAGUGAAGGAGGCAGAGUAGAUUAGAAGAGAUGUUCAACCUCUUACUCAUAAUGCCUUUGGUUAAGGCCUCUGUCUCUUCCUUCAUAAAACUCUGAUGAUCCUCUAGGAGACCCUCCUGUCCAGCCUCUGAACUCUACUUAUUUCUAGUCUUACUGCUCCAACAGCCUUCACUGACAACAAAUGCCUUUCAGUAAAAUCAAGUCUAGGCAGGAGAGGAAUGGGACAAUCCUAAAGAGACCAUACUGGGCUUCAGGACAAAAUUGCUAGGGCUCCCUGCCCACCUUAGGUUCCACUCUACCUUCCCUCUUGAAACCAUCCCUCCCAAACUUGUGUAUACAAACCACCUGCACACCUCCUCCCCAAGCUGAUCCCCCUGUCUGGACUGCCCCCCCUUUAACUACUCAGUCUGUGAGGUUGGCCACCAAGAUUAGAAUUUUCCACAUGUCAAACCCUCUACCAGAUGCUGGGAAUGCAACGUGUGAGCAGAAAGAGCCUAGUCUCUAUCUUAGGGGACUCAGAGGAGAGCCCUGUGGGAUUCAAAUAAGACUCAGCACACACUGCACCACCACUAUGACAGCAUGAAAUAAAGGGACCUGACCUAACCUAAGGGUCCAAGAGGACCUCCCAGAUGUAGCAACCCAAGCUGAGACCUGAAGCUUAGAUUUAACUAAGGAGGAUGAGAUAUGGUGGACCUCCCAGGCAGGAGAACAACAUGUGUUCUUUGUGGGAGAGUUAUUGGAGGAGCAGGGGAGGGCCAAUGUAGCCACAAAACAUUAAGUGUGGGGCAUGCCAGAGCCAACCACACUGAGUCUGCAGAGGGACAAUAAAACAAAGGGAGGCCACCUGCCCAGGUCUGGCAGUCAGCAGGCCCCCUGGUCCUGGUCAUACAGGGUUCCCUCACUCUCGUCCAUGACAUACAAAAGCCCUGACCUCAGCAUUCAGAGGAAGACCUGUCUCACCUCUUGAAUGCUGGCAAGAGGGGAUGGAGGUGUGUGCUCCUGGAGGUCAUGGGUCUCAGGCAAGAAACCCAAGGGGCUCUUUUCAGCUAUGUGAGUCCUAGGGGCUCCCUUCAGAAAAGGUAUGGUAAGACAGACUUCCUUAGAAGAGCCUCUCCAAUUUCAUUCUUGGGCUUCUUCCCUUGUGUGGAAUGGAGGUGGUACCUGUGGGGACAAGAGAAAGAUGGGGAAGUCCAGGAGCUCAGAUGUUAAAUGGGUGAGACCCCAUCAAACUCCAGGCCAGGUGGACCAGCUCUGCCCAUAGAGCAUGGGCAAAAGGGAGAAGUAGGAAGCCAGCCUGGAGGAGAGCCAAGUCUUCCAUGAAGGCCAGGUGAGAGCCUCCAGCAGGCUUCCAUCUCUAUGAGGUUGGAGAAAAGCCCCCUUGGGAAAGAAGGAAGAAGCCUGGAGGCCCAGUCUAACUUGGCUGGAGUAGACAGUAGAUUUUGUGAAAGGUGUACAACUGAUUCUCAAACUAUCCAGCAGCCCAGGGUGGGCUGUAAGAGGGGUGAGGAGUCCAGGUUGACCAAUAACCGGGGCCAAGUGAGGACAUAUAGGCCUAGCAAGGAGCCGCAGGAGCCCCUGAGGGAAGCAGGCGUUGGAUGGCGCUCAACUCCAGUUGAGGCUGGGCAGGAAAGGCUGCUCUACUCAGCCCCUCCCCCAGCUACAAAAGAAAAGGUUCCCCAGAGUUGGGGCAAGGCCUACAUCCUGCAGUAGGGUCCUUCAGUGGUACUGUGGCCUGAGGAAAAGUCUGAAGUGUAAAGCCUAAACCCUAAAGGGUCUCUGAUUGACUAGGAAAUCCACUACACUCCAUUUCACCAGUUCCUCCACCGGCACCACUGGCUUAGUCCUGGUGGGCUCCAGGCAAAACUCAAAUUACCCUCCUGGUCCCAUAGGAAGGGGCACUGCCAGAAUUGUUUCAAGAGUAGAGACAGGAGUUCCCGUCGUGGUGCAGUGGUUAACGAAUCCGACUAGGAACCAUGAGGUUGCGGGUUCGGUCCCUGCCCUUGCUCAGUGGGUUAACGAUCUGGCGUUGCCGUGAGCUGUGGUGUAGGUUGCAGACGCGGCUNNNNNNNNNNNNNNNNNNNNNNNNNNNNNNNNNNNNNNNNNNNNNNNNNNNNNNNNNNNNNNNNNNNNNNNNNNNNNNNNNNNNNNNNNNNNNNNNNNNNNNNNNNNNNNNNNNNNNNNNNNNNNNNNNNNNNNNNNNNNNNNNAAAAAAAAAAAAAAAAAAAAGAGUAGAGACAAGGAAGGGGAGAGGCCCUCCGGAUGUGAAAGUCACUUUCUGCAGUCCGGGUACAGAGGGAAGACAAGGAAGCAAGGUGAACUUGGGGGACCCCAGAGGAUGGAGCUAGGCUGGGAGCUUCUGGAAAGGAGUCUGGCCUUACAGAAAGGUCUCUGAGGCAAGGUUGGGCUUACCCUCAGGGGUCCACAUUCCAUAGGGAUCUUCCCUGGGCGAAGUUCAAGAAACAGAGCCAGAAAGAGGUUUCUUGGGGGAAAAAGUGUAAUAAUGUGUGAUUAGUGAUGGUGUCUUUGGGGACUGGAGGUAGGAGGUGGAGAAUCGAGGGUUCUUGAGGACUGAGAGGAGAUUUUGCUCAGCAGGCCUCAUAUUCCACACUGAGAUGCAAUAGAAUUGUUCACCUCUCCAUUGUGCCCAGUGCCCAGAAGGACUCAGGCAUGGCCCAAGUCGUGGGCAGCAAGCUGGAUAGUGGGGUAGGUAAAGGCAAUGGUCUCCCAUGACCACAGCAGAAACAAAACACGUGGGUGGGGUAGCCUUCAAAGCCGGAGAAAGUGACAGGACAGCCGUUGGGGGUGUCAUGGAGGCAGGUGAUGCACAAAGCUGGGAGUCUGGGAGGAUAGUUGUCAGGCUGUGGAGGAGCUUAACAAAGACUGCACCCUUCCGAGCCCGAACGUGGCUGCAGAGGAAAGCAGGGGUCUGCAGGGGCAGCAGGAGAGUAGCUGCUCUCAAGCGAGGAAAUUCCGGCCCUCUUUGCACACCUGAGCGGCCACAGCCAACAGCAGCUUCGCCAUUAC